CCUACGGGUGGCAGCAGUGGGGAAUAUUGCACAAUGGGCGCAAGCCUGAUGCAGCCAUGCCGCGUGUGUGAAGAAGGCCUUCGGGUUGUAAAGCACUUUCAGCGGGGAGGAAGGCGGUGAGGUUAAUAACCUCAUCGAUUGACGUUACCCGCAGAAGAAGCACCGGCUAACUCCGUGCCAGCAGCCGCGGUAAUACGGAGGGCGCAAGCGUUAAUCGGAAUUACUGGGCGUAAAGCGCACGCAGGCGGUCUGUCAAGUCGGAUGUGAAAUCCCCGGGCUCAACCUGGGAACUGCAUUCGAAACUGGCAGGCUAGAGUCUUGUAGAGGGGGGCAGAAUUCCAGGUGUAGCGGUGAAAUGCGUAGAGAUCUGGAGGAAUACCGGUGGCGAAGGCGGCCCCCUGGACAAAGACUGACGCUCAGGUGCGAAAGCGUGGGGAGCAAACAGGAUUAGAUACCCGGGUAGUC
rnacentral:rRNA from 1 species